CAGCCGCCACGGGAAUACGGAGGGGGCUAGCGUUGUUUGGAAUUACUGGGCGUAAAGCGCACGUAGGCGGCUUUGUAAGUUAGAGGUGAAAGCCCGGGGCUCAACCCCGGAAUUGCCUUUAAGACUGCAGAGCUAGCAGGUGAGAGAGGUGAGUGGAAUUCCGAGUGUAGAGGUGAAAUUCGUAGAUAUUCGGAAGAACACCAGUGGCGAAGGCGGCUCACUGGCUCAUACUGGACGCUGAGGUGCGAAAGCGUGGGGAGCAAACAGGAUUAGAUACCCCAGUAGUCCCUGUCUCUUAUAC
rnacentral:rRNA from 1 species